GAAAAAAGUUGUUGUGGAGGAUUCACCUCCUGAAGAAGAUCAAUACUUUGACGGUGAGAGAUAUGAAAUAUCAAGUGACGAACUCGAUGAAUGGCUAAGGGAAAACGUUGAUAAAUCUGCUGCAGAGGGGGAGAACCAAGCUGACCUGCGAUCGACAGAAGGUCGCUAUGUGUCCUCUGAAACGUAAGAAGCUUUAUUAUUUAAUAAAAUCUUGUUAUUAUUUGAGAUUUGGAUGUAUUUUGUGAACCAUUUGGGUGUAUUUUGUGG